rnacentral:lncRNA from 1 species
CGUUAAUAUUGAUUCACUUAUAGGGUCUUUGCAUCGAAACUAAACACAUUUAUUCAAAAACCAGUUGUUGGCAUGACACGGGUUAUGUUCUUCUCAUAUAUGUUAUGAUGGUAUGAUACUAAACCCCUAACGGGAAGGAUUGUGCCUGAUGUUCAUAUGAUGAAAUCAUAAUCUUUCAGUCAGUUUAAUUGAAGUCUGGAGCUGGCAUGUCAGUUAACUACUAGUAGUCUGUUGUUAUUUAUGUAUUAUUGUCAUUUUGUUUAUUUUCUUUGGUUACAUCUUCUGACAUCAGACUCGGACUUCUCUUGAACUGAAUUUUAAUGUGCGUAUUAUUAUGCGUUUACUUUUCUACAUUGGCUAGAGGUAUAGGGGGAGGGUUGAGAUCUCACAAACAUGUUUAACCC